rnacentral:misc_RNA from 1 species
GAUGAAGAACGCAGCGAAAUGCGAUAAGUAAUGUGAAUUGCAGAAUUCAGUGAAUCAUCGAGUCUUUGAACGCACAUUGUGCCCCCUGGUAUUCCGGGGGGCAUGCCUGUCCGAGCGUCAUUGCCGCCCUCAAGCACGGCUUGUGUGUUGGGCCCCCGCCCCCCGGCUUCGGGGGGCGGGCCCGAAAGGCAGCGGCGGCACCGCGUCCGGUCCUCGAGCGUAUGGGGCUUCGUCACCCGCUCUGUAGGCCCGGCCGGCGCCCGCCGGCGACCCCAAUCAAUCUUUCCAGGUUGACCUCGGAUCAGGUAGGGAUACCCGCUGAACUUAAGCAUAUCAAUAAGCGGAGGA